GGGAUAACUAUUGGAAACGAUAGCUAAUACCGCAUGAAAUUGCUUAUCGCAUGAUAAUUAAUUGAAAGAUGCAAUUGCAUCACUACCAGAUGGACCUGCGUUGUAUUAGCUAGUUGGUGAGGUAACGGCUCACCAAGGCGACGAUACAUAGCCGACCUGAGAGGGUGAUCGGCCACACUGGGACUGAGACACGGCCCAG
rnacentral:rRNA from 1 species